GUUAGGGAUAUUGCGCAAUGGGCGAAAGCCAGACGCAGCAACGCCGCGUGGGCGAUGAAGGUCUUCGGAUCGUAAAGCCCUUUUUCGGGGGAAGAGGAAGGACAGUACCCUGAGAAUAAGUCUCGGCUAACUACGUGCCAGCAGCCGCGGUAAUACGUAGGAGGCAAGCGUUAUCCGGAUUCAUUGGGCGUAAAGGGCGUGUAGGCGGUGCCUUAAGUUGGAUGUAAAAUCUUCCGGCCUAACUGGAAGGGGUCAUUCAAUACUGGGGCACUUGAGGUCAGAAGAGGGAAGUGGAAUUCCCGGUGUAGCGGUGGAAUGCGUAGAUAUCGGGAGGAACACCCGUGGCGAAAGCGGCUUCCUGGUCUGCACCUGACGCUGAUACGCGAAAGCUAGGGGAGCAAACGGGAUUAGAUACCCGAGUAGUCC
rnacentral:rRNA from 1 species